UACGUAGGGCGCGAGCGUUGUCCGGAUUUAUUGGGCGUAAAGCGCGCGCAGGUGGUUUGUUAAGUCUGAUGUGAAAGCUCACGGCUCAACCGUGGAGGGUCAUUGGAAACUGGGGAACUUGAGUGCAGAAGAGGAAAGUGGAAUUCCAAGUGUAGCGGUGAAAUGCGUAGAGAUUUGGAGGAACACCAGUGGCGAAGGCGACUUUCUGGUCUGUAACUGACACUGAGGCGCGAAAGCGUGGGGAGCGAACAGG
rnacentral:rRNA from 1 species